rnacentral:rRNA from 1 species
AUGCUUAAACUGAAUUUUGAUGUUGGUUUCGAUUGUGACAGUGGCACCGAGGCGACAGGUGCGUUUCUGCGGGACCAUACGAGCUUCUUUGUGGCAACAUCAUGCAGCAACAUCUCAUUCGUAGAAGAUGCGACAACAACAGAAGCACAGGGAUUACGAGAUGGACUCCUCCUCGCUAAUGAAAUUGGAUGUAACAAAAUUUACGCGGAAGGUGGUUGCAUGGAAGUUAUUGAGAUCAUGCAGAACGGAGAUUCGCAUCGACACAAACAUCCAGAUUCAAAUCGGACGGUGAAACCGUACAACACUACUGCGAUGUUCGGCCCGAACAGCUUUAACCUCGCGCAUGCACCUAGUCCAGAGGACCACGGAGAACGACAGGUAGGGCCGUUACACGCGUUGGCACUGGACCCGCGCCACGCCCCCCUCGCCUCAGCCCGGCAUCGUCUUCUCCUCCCAGCCCCCCUCUCCAUCCCCGUCGCAUCUGUGCUCGCGAAGCCGCCGCGCGCGCGUACAAAUACCCGGCGGAGGAAGCGGCGAGGGGCCACCGAACCCUAA